rnacentral:rRNA from 1 species
CAGUAGCCACGGGAAAACGGAGGGUGCAAGCGUUAAUCGGAAUUACUGGGCGUAAAGCGUGCGUAGGCGGUUCGUUAAGUCUGUUGUGAAAGCCCCGGGCUCAACCUGGGAAUGGCAAUGGAUACUGGCGAGCUAGAGUGUGUCAGAGGAUGGUGGAAUUCCCGGUGUAGCGGUGAAAUGCGUAGAGAUCGGGAGGAACAUCAGUUGCGAAGGCGGCCAUCUGGGACAACACUGACGCUGAGGCACGAAAGCGUGGGGAGCAAACAGGAUUAGAUACCCCCGUAGUCCCUGUCUCUUAUAC